CGAAAAUGGACUCAUUAGUGCUAAGUAAAAUUAAAAGAAAAAAACUAUUUUCGGCGAUUAGAAGCUCCAAGAAUCAAUUCACGUUUGACGGGAUCAUAACGUUCAUCGUUGUAAAAAUCGACCCUAGCAUUCGAUCCUUCAUUGCCCUUAUUUUUGCUUCUCUUUCCAUUAAUUGUUGGAGGUAUAUGUCUUUUGACAAUAUCGGCGAUUUUUUUACUUCUCGAUCCAUGAUAAGCCCAAAACUGACGCGGUGAAUUCAAUGAUGAACGAGUGCUGUGGUUUCUGCUUAUCGCAGACGCCGGUGAACCUUCUUCCUGAUUCUCCUCGGCCAAAGGUUGCUGCACAUUUAUGUAAUCAUCUCGAGCCAUAACCAUGCUUUCUAAAUCUGCAUGUCGAUUAUGUUCGGCUGAGAGUUGUUGAAGGUUUAAGAGUUCUGAAGAAACCUCACGUUCAUGUUCCUUAAGAUGAUAAUUGCCUUUUACUUUCUCAACAAGUAGCUUUCCAGUAUGGGAAACUACUGUUCGUAUAAGAUCGUGCUUCAACUUCAUAGCCAAGUCCAAGUAAGAGCAUACUUCAUUUCGAUAUUCCAUAGUGGGGACGGUAAACACAAAUCCAGUAAUAUUUUCCAAACCUAAGCCUCCCGUUCCACGAUAACUCAAACGAAGGACGACGCUUGGAAUCUUGAAGUACGUGAUAAGCAUAUUUGAGCCAGCGCGGUCUAACAUUGACUGAAGUUCCAUUCUGCCUUCAUCGUCUACGUCAAGGCAUUUGUCAAUAGUAAAGUCAAUUAACGAUGCUCGUUUCGAGCGACUAUCCCGCCUUGAUGAACUAGGAGUAGCUAAAGCGUCUUCUUCUUGGUCAUUUGUGCGACGCCGCAUUAAUGAACCAGAGUAAUUUGAAUUAUCCGCUUCACCUUGGGAUCCAUUUUCCUUCCUUUUGUCAUGAUUACGAGAAUAUAUAUGUGGAAAUCCAUCGGAUUCGUUGCGAUUUGGAAACGCAUAUGCAAAGAGCUUAGUAGCCAAUUCCUGUUCAAUUUGCAAACUCAAUGGAAACAAAUUAAUUUCAAAAUGCUGAAUCACUUGAAUACCUGCGACCGCCUCUAGUACUUCCCAGUGAAUGCGUAUAAAUUUCUGUUGAAGCAGUUGCUCGUUAGAGAAUUCAUGAUUAAAGUAUGGACAAAUUAUGUUCUCAAAUUGGCAGCCUGGCGCCAGAUUAGAACCUUUCAUAAACUCUAUCUCAAGUGUAUUAAAAUUAGAUGCGUCCGAAUUUUCAAUACGCCGAAAAGUGGCAUUUUGCAAACGGACAUCGAGAAAUGGUUUUUUAUUGUCUUCUAAAAGGUGCCAUACAACCUCUUUUGCCAUCAAAAACCAACUCAAGUUAGACCUAACUUUAUUUUGAUGUAUUCCACGGUUCUGAACAGCGGCUAUCGACUCAAUUAAAUAAUACAACUCCUCUCCACAACGGUGUAAUUCAUUUUGCAAAAACAACUGCUGUGCGAUAUGAGCAUAUAUACCAAACGUCACGUCAUAUAGUUGGUGCUGUAGCUUUAGAUCCAACAGACGAUGAACUCUUGCUUGUAAAGCUCUAACUACCUCCGAAGUACCUGUCAGGUCACUAAAAUCAGCAGCAAGCAUAAUUUCCUCUAAACGUUGAUUACGUUGUUUUUGGGCUGGUUCUUUAUACAGCAACAAAUCAGUUAUAAUUGUAAAAAUAUCAUAAUACUGAGACGAGUCAGUAGAAAAGACAACCCGAGGAAAAUCAAAGGUUAACGUAUCAGCGUGAGUAUCUAAAUCCUCAAAAAAGGCUCUAGUCGAAUGAACCGUUUCUUGUAAACGUAAAUCAUUGUGUUUUGUGUAAAUUACCGAAAAGGAUACCCGAUGCAAAAAACGAGAGAAAGCAGCAGGAGUAAGCACGAAAUCAAAUGUGGUUUCAAAUGGAACCCAAGGAGGCCAAACUGUAUUAUGUUCACAUCCGUAUUCAUUCAAAACAAGACUUGAAGCAUUAACAACUUCGAAGUCGGAUUUUUUAGAAAUAAAAAACUGGGACUCAUUCACUUUACAUAAGAAUCUUCUCUCUAUAAGAUAAUUGAUAUCAUUAUCAGGAAAAAUUGGGUCAACGACGCUUAGAAUUUUAAUUUGUAAGCUUUGGAUUGAUAUUAUUACAGCUUUCUCCGGAUUGGAGCUACACUGUAAUUGAAUUUGAGGGGAAAUAAAUCGGAAAACAUAACUUUGAAUAAUAUCAUACUCAUUAUUACUGAUGGAGUUUGUGUUACCUUCUUCACUACCAUGUUCACGAUCAGCGUCAGAAGUCUUUACCCAAAACCUCUUCUUAGAGUCUUCAAGUAAAAACUUUAACAAAUGUCUAGCAUUUUCUCGGUCCUCAUCAUCCUCGGUGUAAUUUCCAAAAAAGUCAUCAUUAGCAGACUCAGUACGUUUUUCUAAAUCACGCAAAAAAACGAUGGCCUUCUGUGACAUGUAAUAAGCAAAUCCUCUUACACGUUCAACUUCAUGAACAUAAGACAUAACGGCAUUUCGAAUGAAAUUGUUCCAUUUAACUUGGACAUUAUGAGCAACAAAUCUAUUGUUGAAGGCAUGAACGGAUUCCGAUAAUGACGCAUAAGAAAGAUCCACUUGCCCAUUUUCCGAACAUUGUGACGCUUGACUACAACUACUUUCAUCUUUAAGUAGAUACUCCAAUAAGCGAUAGUGAUCAGAUAAAGUUACUAUCCUUUUAGUAAGUUCUUCGUAUUCUUGUCUGACCUCCUCGGAAUCGUUAUUGGAUUCCAACUGAGAUUUAAGAAAACCAAUUCGCUCUUGCUCAGAACUCAUGAAUUCUUCAAGUUCUUUUCGGCGUUUUUGAAGAAGUUCAUAUUGGACCGCCUUCGGAUUUUCCCUACUUGGCAUUAAACAUCGAUGAGUAAAUUCAUCUCCAAAUCUGCACGUAUCAGGAAUUAUCUCCUUUUCGUUUUUUUCAUUUCGACGGUGGCAUUUGGUAUGACGAUAAUAAGUAAAUCUUGGAGAAAACGCUAGAGGAUAGAUGGAGCAUUUCUCAUUCUGCUGAGGUAAAAGCCAAUCUGCUUCGUGAUAGUCAUCAAUAUCGACCCAAUUAGCAGGACCAUCUACAUUUUUGAAAGAAAAACAUUCUUUUUCCUCCUCAUCCAGCACGUUAGCUGGUAUAGAGUCUGAAUUAUCAAGGGCCCCUUCAUCAAAAGAAGCAGAAAUUGCUCUUAAGUCGAUAGUCUUGAAAUCAAUUUCAGCAAGAUGAACUUUCAUUGAUGUGGCUUCUUGGUGCUUUCUUCCUAAAUUUGCUUUGUUUUUUACUUCAUGCUUUUCAGAACGCUGAUGUAAAUCAAUUGUGAAGUUAUCAACUCUAGCUUUCAAACCAGUAGCGCUCGCAGUUCUAUCCUGCCAAUUUUUGUUGGUUUUGUAGUUGUACAUAUGGCUAAUAAAAAGAGGCGUAAGCUCUAGCGCAUAUUUAAAAGUAGCCAAAUGUCGGCCAAACUUUUUGUUAGGGGAUGAAUCUAAAGUAGGAAAAAGAUUACCACUGCGUAAUGGAUAAGACAUGUUGUUCGAAAAUAAAUUCCACCAAGAACUAAAGUGGGAAAACACAAGCGGUGUUAGAUGAAUAGUGUUAUAAGAAUUCACAUUUUCAAAAGCAUUCGCAUCAUCUAGGUAUCUUGGAGACUCUAAAGCAAGUGAGCAAU